AAAAUGCCAGUUGUUUGCAGCCUGAUUCAGGAAGGUAUUCAAGCACAUGAAGAGUCCUGCUGAUUUCAGGGUUUGAAGUGAGGUAAAACCUGAAGUUAUUCCACUGAAGUCAACAAGUUUGAGAAAUGUGGCCUUUUCUGUCUGAAGAAUGUUUUCUGCUGGAUAGAAGGGGGCAAGGGAAGUUGUCCUGUUGGGGUGAGCCGGCACCCCUGAGCUCUGCAGUCAUGAGAAAAAUCAUCCUGGGAUGGAAUUCUAGAAAAACAAUCAAAAGCUGAGGUUUUCAGCAGUCUCCAAACUUUGGUGCCUGAGUCCUUUGGUACUCAUGAGGCAGCCUUGAAGCACUUGGAAUACCCUACUGACACAACGCAACUGGCGCUCCUCCAGACCCCGUGAGUGAAAUAAGCACAGGCUCACAGAACAGCUGAGGCUGGAAGGGAUAUCUGCAAGUCAUCUAGUCUGACCCCCAGCUCAAGAAGGUCCGCCCUAGACCACAUUGCCCAGGACCAUAUCCAGCUGGCUUUUUAAUAUCUUCAACGAUGGAGACUCCACAACCUCCCUGGGCAACCUGUGCCAGUGCUUGGUCAUCCUUACAGUGAAAAAGUGUUUCCUGAUGUUCAGAGGGACCCCCCCCCCCCCGCCGUUUCAGUUUAUGCCCAUUACCUCUGGUCCUGGCACUGGCACCACUGAAAAGAGCCUGGCUCCGUCCUCAUUCUGUCCUCCACCUUUACAUCAAUCCAUGCCAAAAGACUGAGUUGCUGUAUUAAUCACCUUAACAAACUUCCAGGCUUGAUUAGUGGGGUUGUGUGAUGCAGGGAGCAGGAAGAACUAUUUCAAUAGGCUUUUGAUGAGUUGAUGUAUAAAGAAGCAAAUGAAUUAUGUAAUUUUUAUGAAUUUUUCACUGGAAUCCAUAGUUACUUGUGGUAUAAGAACAAGAACAAAGAACUUUGAUACCACAACCCUCUGUGCCAAUUAAUGUUUGUGGUUUAUAUCAGGCAGCCAUUUGAUGAAAUAAAUAAUAGCUGAUGCAGAAA